rnacentral:tRNA from 1 species
GGGUCGUUAGCUCAGUUGGUAGAGCAGUUGGCUUUUAACCAAUGUUGGUAGAGCAGUUGGCUUUUAACCAAUUGGUCGUAGGUUCGAAUCCUACACGACCCACCA